AACGAACGCUGGCGGCACGUUUUAAGCAUGCAAGUCGAAUGGCAGCAGGGGCAACUCUGUGAGAAUGGCGAACGGGUGAGUAACACGUAGGUGAUCUGCCUUGAGGAUGGGGAUAGCCUGUGGAAACACAGGGUAAUACCGAAUGAGCUGACGAGACUUCGGUUUUGUUAGUAAAGGUGCUACGGCACCGCCUUGAGCGGAGCCUGCGGCUGAUUAGCUAGUUGGUGGGGUAAGAGCUUACCAAGGCGACGAUCAGUAGCCGGCCUGAGAGGGUGUACGGCCACACUGGAACUGAGACACGGUCCAGACUCCUACGGGAGGCAGCAGCUAAGAAUCUUCCGCAAUGGGCGAAAGCCUGACGGAGCGAUGCCGCGUGAUCGAUGAAGGUCGAGAGAUUGUAAAGAUCUUUUCUACAUGAGGAAUAAGUCUGGGAGGGAAUGCCCGGAUGAUGACGUUAGUGUAGGAAUAAGCCCCGGCUAAUUACGUGCCAGCAGCCGCGGUAA
rnacentral:rRNA from 1 species